GACGAACGCUGGCGGCGUGCUUAACACAUGCAAGUCGAACGGAAAGGCCCUGCUUUUGUGGGGUGCUCGAGUGGCGAACGGGUGAGUAACACGUGAGUAACCUGCCCUUGACUUUGGGAUAACUUCAGGAAACUGGGGCUAAUACCGGAUAGGAGCUCCUGCUGCAUGGUGGGGGUUGGAAAGUUUCGGCGGUUGGGGAUGGACUCGCGGCUUAUCAGCUUGUUGGUGGGGUAGUGGCUUACCAAGGCUUUGACAGGUAGCCGGCCUGAGAGGGUGACCGGCCACAUUGGGACUGAGAUACGGCCCAGACUCCUACGGGAGGCAGCAGUGGGGAAUAUUGCACAAUGGGCGGAAGCCUGAUGCAGCAACGCCGCGUGCGGGAUGACGGUCUUCGGGUUGUAAACCGCUUUCGCCUGUGACGAAGCGUGAGUGACGGUAAUGGGUAAAGAAGCACCGGCUAACUACGUG
rnacentral:rRNA from 1 species